GGAGUGAUGCUUCCACCUCAGUUAACUUAGUCUACAAGCUCUGUCACAGGUGUGACCAGGGAUUUGCUUUCUAGGCUAUUCUUGAUCCUGGUUAAGUUGACAGUCAGAAUAAACCCUCACAACUUGUUUCUGGAAUCAAAAGAUUUUUGUCUUUAAGAGUGGGGCCAUUGACUGGAUUUAAAUAACCACACUAUAAGAUUUAUACUCAACAGGAUUGUUGCUCCCUGGUUGCUUCUUUUCCCCUUUCCAAUCUUGUUUCAGUCACCUGUAUUUUAUCUGCAGGUUCCCAGGGGCCUUCUCUUGCAUCCACGAGCAAUGGCAGACACAGUGCCUCAUCACCCAAAGCCCCUGACCCUGAGGGGCUGGCCAGGCCCGUCUCUCCUGACAGCCCAGAAAUCAUCAGUGAGCUCCAGCAGUAUGCAGAUGUGGCCGCUGCUCGGGAAUCCCAUCAGAACUCCCCAAGCAUCAGUGCUGCCCUGCCUGGCCCCCCGGCCCAACUUAUGGACAAUAGCACCAUUCCUGGGACAGCUCUUGGAACUGAGCCAUGCCUUGGGGGUCAUUGCCUCAAUAGUUCCCUCUUGGUGACUGGUCAGCCCAGUAGUGGCAGGCAUCCAGUGCUGGACUUAAGGGGCCAUAAGCGAAAGUUGGCCACUCCAUCUGUCUCCCAGGAAUCAGUCCGUCGACGGUCCAGGAAGGGCCAUCUGCCAGCCCCCGUGCAGCCCUAUGAACACGGGUAUCCAGUUCUGGCGGGUUUUCAAUGCCACCUGUCUCCUUAAAUCAUAACCUCACCACCCCCUUCACCUCCCAGGCUGGGGAGAAUUCCCUGUUUAUGGGCAGUAAUCCCUCCUACUACCAGCUGUCCAAUUUGCUGGCAGAUGCCCGCCUGGUGUUUCCAGUGACUACUGACCCUCUGGUGCCAGCAGGCCCUGUCAGUUCCUCUUCCACGGCUACCUCAGUCACUGCCAGCAACCCCUCCUUCAUGCUCAACCCCUCUGUGCCAGGGAUACUACCCAGCUAUUCACUCCCAUUCUCACAGCCACUCCUGUCCGAGCCGAGGAUGUUUGCGCCUUUCCCUUCCCCUGUCUUGCCCAGCAACCUUUCGAGGGGCAUGUCUGUUUACCCAGGCUAUAUGUCCCCACAUGCAGGCUACCCAGCUGGUGGCCUCCUCCGGUCCCAGGUGCCUCCAUUUGACUCGCAUGAGGUUGCUGAGGUGGGGUUCAGCUCCAAUGAUGAUGAGGAUAAAGAUGACGAUGUGAUAGAGGUCACUGGGAAGUAGCUAGGAAGCCCCUGCCCACCUCACUUGGGGCCCCUAGAAGGUUGCCCACCAAACUGGAAGGCAAUGAACCUGGUCUUUCUGAAAAUAGGGUACUUGGCAGGAGAGAAGAAAAGACAAAGGAGAGUGGUUGGCCAUAAUGGUAGGCUCAAUUGCUGUUCACCAGAAGAAGAAAAAGAAAACAAAAACAAAAGACCCCAGAAACUCCACAGAGCUGAAAAAGUGGGAAAUCAGGGACCGCAAACAGGGAUGGAGUGUAUGGCAGCCUGCCUCUUCCUUCCUGCCUUUCCUAUGCUGUCUGCUUAUAUGCCCUCUAAGUGCAGAAGCGCAUACCCAUUCUGCCUUUGGGAACAUCUCUCCCAAGAAAGAGUAAAGAAGAUGAGGGUGGGCAUGGGAGGCAGACUAGGAUUCCACCAGAAGAGCGUCUCUUUAGGAGGUUGGCAGGAAGUGAGCCAGGCCCGUGUGUGUGUGUGUGUGUGUGUGUGUGUGUGUGUGUGUGUGUGUGUGUACGUGUACAUGUGAGUACGUAUGUGUACCCAUGCACGCAAGAGAGAACAUGUAUGUAGCAGAACAAGGGUGAAAGUGGGAGGGGAGGGAGGGGAAAAACUAAGAGGUAAACUAAAAAGAAAUGAAUUUAUCUUUUUUUGAAGUGUGAUCAGAGUGUGGUGGUUUAUGGCUACUAAGUUGAACAUCAAAAUGAGUCCAGGAGAAGAGCCAUGAAAGCCAGUUUCAUUCUGGCUAGGUGAAGAGAAGGCCGGGCUAACUUGAGUCCCUAGUCCCACAUUUGUUUUUUAACUUGGGGGAAAUCAUGAGAAAGUGAGUGUCUCCAAUUUCUUAUUCUCUCCACAGUGGCCAUCUCUGAGCAGAUGUCCCUUUCCACAUGGGCUCGAAGUGCACUGCAGUGAGGGUGAGGUUGUGUUGUGGCUGGAAAAGAUGUGCUUCACUAGGACAGAGGGAAGCCCCUUUGGCUGCCUGUGCUGGUGGCCUUUCCUCUUCUUUCCCUCCCCAUUAGAGAGCUCCAUGUUAAUUUAUUCUUAUGGGCAAUUAUUUAUUAUUGUCAUUUGGGGAAAAGGGUUGUGGGGAAGGGUUAUAAAGAAGAUAGCUAAUAGUAAAGCAAAUUCUAAAAUAUUCCAGACCCCCUGGCUGCUGGUAAAAAUAAGCAAAUAAAAAGGGUCCCAGGUAGAUGGUAAAUUAAUUGACCAGGGAAAGAGAGUUAGAAUUAACCAAAAGUUACAGCUAUGUUGUGGGAAAAUGGCCUCUCAGGGAAAUCAGGGAGCCGUGAGACUGGCUAGUUGGGGGUGGUGAGACUCAUUCCAUAGAAAUUGAAACUUGGGAUCAUGGACUUGGCUACUGGGAAAUAAGUCACCUCCACAUUUGGAACUAGUGUCCUCUGAUGAUUUUACAGGCCAGUUCUCUGCUGAAAAGUGAAACUGUGGACAGGUAGCUGCUGGGUUGAGGUAAUAGACUACUGCUUUUGAGUUGGAACUUGUCUUGGCCUCCCUAGCAUAACAGGUGAUCAGUAUAGGCCUGGUUUCUGGUCCCUCCAUCUUCUCUCAAGUAUCACAGGGAAGCCCUUCCUCUGAGGAGUCUUAUAUCUGGCUUUUGUUUUAAAAGAAUACGAACACAUGAGUCAUUUUGGUCUCCCUUUUUUGUACCAAAUACCACGGCAGGGGUGUCUAGUACUUAAACAUAAACACUGGCUGUUUUCUAUUAUUGGUGUGUACUGUGUCUUGUAACUCUCUGCCCCCCAAGUUUUUCCAUGCAGUUCUUUAUGAUGAAUAACUCCUGUCUGGGUUUACCACCUUCCCUUGGCUCCAAUCUGAGUGGGCAACUGCUAGAUCUGCCUCCUAGUCCAAGAAGUAUCUUAACCACUGCCUGUGACUCUUGACUAGCAAUUUCUCAUUGUUAGGGGAAAGAAGGGAGCUUAAAAGUAGACACUGGGAUUGUCCCAGAGAUAAGAGAUAGAUGGUUGAUGGGGUGUGUGUACUGUCCAGUAACACCAAAAGUGGACUUGAGCUUUCUGUCUGUUUUCAUGUGCACCCGGUCAGACACUUAACUCUUCUACUCAUAGAAGCCUUAGAUCUACAGUUUAGCUAUGCAAAUUAUUUUUAAUAAUUCAAAAAUAGCAGUUUCAACCAGUGCUUUCUCGGUCAUAUGUAGUCCAAGAAUUGAUAGCCAAGGCAUUUAAUUGGAGUGGGCUCUUAGGUCCAGGCUGGUGCAGUGGGAGUGAGCUAAUCCAGAUUUCUGUAGUUUGCAAAACACAUUUAAAACUUGGCUUACAUGGAUGCCUCUCAGACUUGGAACACUGAGCUCCCAGAGUUGUAUGUCUCUGUGUGUGUGCCCUGCUAACCAGGAAAAGGGGUGUCUCUGUGUUCACAAAUGGG
rnacentral:lncRNA from 1 species